GCGCGUGUGGUCUAGUGCCCAAGACGCUUCCUUGCCAUGGAAGAGACCGCGGGUUCUUCGCAAACGACGCAUGCGCCGUUUGCGAGCGUUGUCGUAGCAACCCCGCCACGCGCUCCA
rnacentral:tRNA from 1 species